rnacentral:rRNA from 1 species
AGAGUUUGAUCCUGGCUCAGAUUGAACGCUGGCGGCAGGCUUAACACAUGCAAGUCGAGCGGAGAUGAGGUGCUUGCACCUUAUCUUAGCGGCGGACGGGUGAGUAAUGCUUAGGAAUCUGCCAUUUAGUGGGGGACAACAUUCCGAAAGGAAUGCUAAUACCGCAUACGUCCUACGGGAGAAAGCAGGGGAUCUUCGGACCUUGCGCUAAAUGAUGAGCCUAAGUCGGAUUAGCUAGUUGGUGGGGUAAAGGCCUACCAAGGCGACGAUCUGUAGCGGGUCUGAGAGGAUGAUCCGCCACACUGGGACUGAGACACGGCCCAGACUCCUACGGGAGGCAGCAGUGGGGAAUAUUGGACAAUGGGCGGAAGCCUGAUCCAGCCAUGCCGCGUGUGUGAAGAAGGCCUUUUGGUUGUAAAGCACUUUAAGCGAGGAGGAGGCUACUAGUACUAAUACUACUGGAUAGUGGACGUUACUCGCAGAAUAAGCACCGGCUAACUCUGUGCCAGCAGCCGCGGUAAUACAGAGGGUGCGAGCGUUAAUCGGAUUUACUGGGCGUAAAGCGUGCGUAGGCGGCUUUUUAAGUCGGAUGUGAAAUCCCCGAGCUUAACUUGGGAAUUGCAUUCGAUACUGGGAAGCUAGAGUAUGGGAGAGGAUGGUAGAAUUCCAGGUGUAGCGGUGAAAUGCGUAGAGAUCUGGAGGAAUACCGAUGGCGAAGGCAGCCAUCUGGCCUAAUACUGACGCUGAGGUACGAAAGCAUGGGGAGCAAACAGGAUUAGAUACCCUGGUAGUC